rnacentral:rRNA from 1 species
UACGAAGGGGGCUAGCGUUGCUCGGAAUCACUGGGCGUAAAGGGUGCGUAGGCGGGUCUUUAAGUCAGGGGUGAAAUCCUGGAGCUCAACUCCAGAACUGCCUUUGAUACUGAGGAUCUUGAGUUCGGGAGAGGUGAGUGGAACUGCGAGUGUAGAGGUGAAAUUCGUAGAUAUUCGCAAGAACACCAGUGGCGAAGGCGACACACUGGGCCAUUACUGACGCUGAGGCGCGAAAGCGUGGGGAGCAAACAGG